GCCAGACUCCUACGGGAGGCAGCAGUGGGGGAUAUUGCACAAUGGGGGGAACCCUGAUGCAGCGACGCCGCGUGGGUGAAGGAGCGUUUCGGCGCGUAAAGCCCUAUCGGCAGGGAAGAAGGAGGACGGUACCUGACUAAGAAGCCCCGGCUAACUACGGGCCAGCAGCCGCGGUAAUACGUAGGGGGCAAGCGUUAUCCGGAUUUACUGGGUGUAAAGGGGGCGCAGACGGCAGCGCAAGCCAGGAGUGAAAGCCCGGGGCCCAACCCCGGGACUGCUCUUGGAACUGCGCGGCUGGAGUGCAGGAGGGGCAGGCGGAAUUCCUGGUGUAGCGGUGAAAUGCGUAGAUAUCAGGAGGAACACCGGUGGCGAAGGCGGCCUGCUGGACUGCGACUGACGUUGAGGCCCGAAAGCGUGGGGAGCAAACAGGAUUAGAUACCCCCGUAACU
rnacentral:rRNA from 1 species